UACGUAGGGUGCGAGCGUUGUCCGGAAUUACUGGGCGUAAAGAGCGCGCAGGCGGUCGAUCAAGUCGCGUGUGAAAGCCCCGGCUCAACUGGGGAGGUCACGCGAUACUGAUCGACUGGAAGGCAGGAGAGGUAGUGGAAUUCCCGGUGUAGUGGUGAAAUGCGUAGAUAUCGGGAGGAACACCAGUGGCGAAGGCGACUACCUGGCCUGUUCUUGACGCUGAGGCGCGAAAGCUAGGGAGCAAACGGG
rnacentral:rRNA from 1 species